rnacentral:rRNA from 1 species
CCUACGGGUGACAGCAGUGAGGAAUAUUGGUCAAUGGACGAGAGUCUGAACCAGCCAAGUCGCGUGAAGGAUGACUGCCCUAUGGGUUGUAAACUUCUUUUGUAAAGGAAUAAAACGAGGCACGUGUGCCUUUUUGCAUGUACUUUAUGAAUAAGGAUCGGCUAACUCCGUGCCAGCAGCCGCGGUAAUACGGAGGAUCCGAGCGUUAUCCGGAUUUAUUGGGUUUAAAGGGAGCGUAGAUGGGUUGUUAAGUCAGUUGUGAAAGUUUGCGGCUCAACCUUAAAAUUGCAAUUGAUACUGGCAGUCUUGAGUACAGUUGAGGUAGGCGGAAUGCGUGGUGUAGCGGUGAAAUGCUUAGAGAUCACGCAGAACCCCGAUUGCGAAGGCAGCUUACUAAACUGUGACUGACAUUGAUGCUCGAAAGUGUGGGUAGCAAACAGGAUUAGAUACCCCUGUAGUC